rnacentral:rRNA from 1 species
CCUACGGGAGGCAGCAGUGAGGAAUAUUGGUCAAUGGGCGGGAGCCUGAACCAGCCAAGUCGCGUGAGGGAAGAAGGUACUGAGUAUUGUAAACCUCUUUUGCCAGGGGACAAAGGCGGCCACGGGUGGCCGUAAGAGGGUACCUGGAGAAAAAGCAUCGGCUAACUCCGUGCCAGCAGCCGCGGUAAUACGGAGGAUGCGAGCGUUAUCCGGAUUUAUUGGGUUUAAAGGGUGCGUAGGCGGGAUGCCAAGUCAGCGGUAAAAAUGCGGUGCUCAACGCCGUCGAGCCGUUGAAACUGGCGUUC